GACAGAGGGUGCAAACGUUUGCUCGGAAUUAUUGGGCGUAAAGCGCACGUAGGCGGUUCGUUAAGUCGGAUGUGAAAGCCCUCGGCUCAACUGAGGAAGUGCACCCGAAACUGGCGAGCUUGAGUACGAAAGAGGAUCGCGGAAUUCCCGGUGUAGAGGUGAAAUUCGUAGAUAUCGGGAGGAACACCGGUGGCGAAGGCGGCGAUCUGGGUCGAUACUGACGCUGAGGUGCGAAAGCGUGGGGGAGCAAACAGGG
rnacentral:rRNA from 1 species